GACGAACGCUGGCGGCGUGCCUAAUACAUGCAAGUAGAACGCUGAAGGCGGAGCUUGCUUCUCUGGAUGAGUUGCGAACGGGUGAGUAACGCGUAGGUAACCUGCCUGGUAGCGGGGGAUAACUAUUGGAAACGAUAGCUAAUACCGCAUAAGAGUAGAUGUUGCAUGACAUUUGCUUAAAAGUUGCAAUUGCAUCACUACCAGAUGGACCUGCGUUGUAUUAGCUAGUUGGUGGGGUAACGGCUCACCAAGGCGACGAUACAUAGCCGACCUGCGAGGGGGAUCGGCCGCCCUGGGACGGAGACACGGCCCAGACUCCUACGGGAGGCAGCAGUAGGGAAUCGUCGGCAAGGGGCGGAAGUCUGACCGAGCAACGCCGCGUGAGGGAAGAAGGUUUUCGGAUCGGAAAGCUCUGUUGUAAGAGAAGAACGAGUGUGAGAGUGGAAAGUUCACACUGUGACGGUAUCGUACCAGAAAGGGACGGCUAACUACGUG
rnacentral:rRNA from 1 species